AUGGAGGCUCUGAAUGAUAAGUACUUGGGCUUACCAGCAAAUGUGGGUGUUGAUAAAACAGACUCCUUUAGAUUUCUGAUUGAACGUAUUGUUAAGAAAAUUAGUGGUUGGAAGGAAAAAUUACUAUCUGUCGGGGGGAAGGAGAUCCUAUUAAAGGCGGUGAUCCAAGCCAUACCUACCUAUGCAAUGUCGGUCUUUAAAAUUCCUAAUUGCAAAGGAAUCAUUGACGCGAUUGCGCAUUUCUGGUGGGGAGACGAGGAGAACCAGAGGAGGAUGCACUGGAUGGCCUUGUGGAAAAUGUGUGUACCAAAAAACUAA
rnacentral:rRNA from 1 species